AUAUCAAUAAGCGGAGGAAAAGAAACCAACAGGGAUUACCUCAGUAACGGCGAGUGAAGCGGUAACAGCUCAAAUUUGAAAUCUGGUUCCUUCGGGGCCCGAGUUGUAAUUUGUAGAAGAUGCUUUGGGCGUGGCUCCGGUCUAAGUUCCUUGGAACAGGACGUCAUAGAGGGUGAGAAUCCCGUACGUGACUGGGUGCCUUCGUCCGUGUAAAGCUCUUUCGACGAGUCGAGUUGUUUGGGAAUGCAGCUCAAAAUGGGUGGUAAAUUUCAUCUAAAGCUAAAUAUUGGCCAGAGACCGAUAGCGCACAAGUA
rnacentral:rRNA from 1 species